AUGACUGCUGAAAAUGAUUUGGACCUUUGGAACUGGAAAGGUUGGGUGGAAUCACGUCUUUGUAAAUUGACUCUAAAGAUUGAAAGGCACACUUUUGGCAUGCUUCAGUGUCACCCUUGCACACAUUCCAAUACUAAAUGUAGCUUCUAUCUACUAAUGCCUAACAUUCUACAAUAUGCAUAGUGUGCUGAAAUGUUCUAGUUUUUAUAGCAAAAUUCAAGAAAGCAUGAGUGUGUUCACUGAAGAAGAAAGUAAUCAAAAGUUGCUUUACUUGACCAAAGAUGACAUCAAAAGACUACCCUACUUUUAGGUUUUUUACAUGUUUC